CCACAUUAAGAAAAAUACAUUCGUUAAUUUUUUUUAUUAGUGAAGCCACAAGUUUCGCACAUUAUCCAAACAGAAUACCUGAAAUGUUGAUAUUUUCAGCCCUUUCGGGUUAAAACAAGAGAAAAGGACAACCUAACAAGAGUGAAAAGUUUGGGUUAGGUGACCUAUAGUUCAAAGAUGUCCCUGGUCAGGUAGACUAAAUAAAACUAUUCCCAAUUGCUCCAGGACAUUCGUGUUAUUUACUUGUGAGCUCUCCCUCAAGCCUAGAGAGACAUCAGUGUUGAACCACCAACUGAAAGGGGGUAUUUGCCAUUAGUAUGAGUGACAACAUUUCAUGGCUAUUAAUUUAGUUCAUUAUAUUUAGCCGAUUUGAAUAGACUUUUCUAGCAGGUGAGGCUGUCAAAUAACUAAAUAUGGAGCAACUACAAAAACCAAUGGUAAACAGUAUACAAAUGCAAUCAAGGUUGCACUCACACUAGGCCAUCUGGCCGUGGCCGUCGCAACUGUGGCCUGGCCACGGUAGGCUCUUGUACAUACGCCAUCACGUCGCUAGCAUCCAAACAAUUCUACCAAACCUUAACCAACUAGUGAAAAAUGGAAUAAAAAACUUUAGCACACACCCAGUGACUAAUCACCUUGUCCAGGGGUGUUCCAACGUGGUUUACCAGAGGGCCUUGUGGACGUAAAGUAAGCCACACAUUUGACAGACAGCACCGAAUGACGUUAAACUAAGCUAAUCUACAGGUUACCAGUGCUAGUGCAAUUACAUGAGCAUUUUGCACAAUAUUUGUACUCCAAUGCUACGUAAAGCAGGCUUCUUCAGAAGCCCGUAGCCUGCUACAUUGAAGGGCAACUGUAACAAAUCCUGACCAAGACCGAAAGAUGGCUCUGGAAGCCACUACGGCCUACGCAGCAGAUUACUGCGUGGACCGUGGUGGCUUCCAGAUCAACCCUUUGGUGGACCAUUCAUACACAUGUAUUCCGAAGAUGUUUUGAAGACACUGGAGUCCCAUGGCACUAGAUUCCUUUGAAGACUAAGUUAGUAUGGGGGGGCCCAAAGGGGGCCCCCCCAUAGAUCUUGUCAGUCAUCUAACACCUGUUAAGAAAAACACACACACAUCACAAGAUACAAAUCAGCAAAGCUAGGUUAACAAACAGCGGUGACAAGCAUGUCAAGGUGCAAAGAGCAGGGAUACUGAUGGCUUGUGUCUGAGGAGACAGCCCAAAAACGUCAACAUUUAAUAAAGGAAAAUAACUUUUACUCACUGCGGUGGUCUGUUUCGAAGUGCUAUGUUGGUAGCAAUAUUUGUCUGGGCUGUUCAGUCAAAUGCCCACAAAAACAAACACGCAACAACGCAUACUUUCAGUUUGUAUAAAGUGACAAUAGUGAUCUGCAAUCUAGAUCGAA
ensembl:lncRNA